rnacentral:rRNA from 1 species
UAGCUCAAAUUUGAAAUCUGGCUCUUUCAGAGUCCGAGUUGUAAUUUGUAGAGGAUGCUUCGGCUUACGUUUCGGUCUAAGUUCCUUGGAACAGGACGUCACAGAGGGUGAGAAUCCCGUUUGUGGCCGAGACUUCCGCCAUGUGAAGCUCCUUCGACGAGUCGAGUUGUUUGGGAAUGCAGCUCUAAAUGGGAGGUAUAUUUCUUCUAAAGCUAAAUACCGGCCAGAGACCGAUAGCGCACAAGUAGAGUGAUCGAAAGAUGAAAAGCACUUUGGAAAGAGAGUUAAAAAGUACGUGAAAUUGUUGAAAGGGAAGCGCUUGCGACCAGACUUGCCCGCGGAUGCUCAACCGGUCCUUCGGCCGGUGCACUCUUCCGCGGUCAGGCCAGCAUCAGUUCGAGCGGUCGGAUAAAGGCCUUGGGAAUGUGGCUCUCUUCGGGGAGUGUUAUAGCCCUUGGUGUAAUACGGCCCGCCUGGACUGAGGCCCGCGCUUCGGCUAGGAUGCUGGCGUAAUGGUCGUAAGCGGCCCGUCUUGAAACACGGACCAAGGAGUCUAACAUCUAUGCGAGUGUUUGGGUGUCAAACCCGUGCGCGAAAUGAAAGUGAACGGAGGUGGGAACCUUAGGGUGCACCAUCGACCGAUCCUGAUGUCUUCGGAUGGAUUUGAGUAAGAGCAUAGCUGUUGGGACCCGAAAGAUGGUGAACUAUGCCUGAAUAGGGUGAAGCCAGAGGAAACUCUGGUGGAGGCUCGCAGCGGUUCUGACGUGCAAAUCGAUCGUCAAAUUUGGGUAUAGGGGCGAAAGACUAAUCGAACCAUCUAGUAGCUGGUUCCUGCCGAAGUUCCCUCAGGAUAGCAGUGACGUUUUCAGUUUAUGAGGUAAGCGAAUGAUAGAGGCCUUGGGUUGAACACCUUAACUAUCUCAACUUAAAUAUG